GGUUCGAAACUCAUCCCGUGCUAGGGUUCCACCUUGGGUGUCGCCUGCUGCUGGUCCUCGCCGUCGCCGCCGCCGCCAAAUUCGUCUUUAAGCAUGCCGCCUCCGGAUCAGGCACGACCAAGAUCGCCGCCUCCUGCUGGUGCUCGCCUCCCCCGGUGGAGGAGUCGUUGACCACGCCGCCUCCAGCUCAAGCCCGGCCCCGUGCACCACCUCCUAUUGGUACUCGCCUCUGCCGACGUAGGAGUCGCUGAACACGCCGUCUCCGGGUCAGGAUGGACCUCGCGCGUAUUGGCAGUCGCUUUCGUUGCGCGUUGGUGAUGACCAUCCUCUUGACGAGAAUCUGUAUUGUGCGGUUGGAGACCAAACAGCGACCUUGCAGCGGUGCAGGUAAUCCUCUUUGUCACGCUCCCGUCCCUCUCGUUCUCCUCCGGCAAGGUACAGUGCCUUGGCCCUUCAGCCCUGCGGUCGACCUCCACCGAGCAGAGGAUGGGGCGACCACCACCCGAGCCUCCGACGUCCCGUGCAGGCAGGGCGCCGGCUGUCCUCUCCCCUGUCCUACCGCCCCACACUACCAUCCCCUCUCCAUGUGCCCUCCCUGUGUGCCCUCUGCCUUCUCCCUCUCGGUCUCACCUCUCUCAAUCUUGGUUCCUUGUGUUUGUUUGGUAAGAUGGGUCGUCGUCCCUUGCGCCGCGGCGGGUAACCCUAGGUCGUCCGGCCAGCUCGACAGUGGUCCUGACCUGACCUUCAUGCCGGUUAUGGCGCAGCGCUGCCAGGAGGUCCUCAAGUAUGUUCCCUUUACUCUAAUGUUUUCUGUGAUUGCUAUCAUCUACUCUUGCCCCCUAUGUUGGAGAUUGUUGUAUCAGUAUCUCCUUUGCCAUAGCUUGUGCCUUGAACAAAUAGAUCAACUCAAAGAGUGCAGACCGGAUGUUUAGUUAUUUAUACAGAUGGAUAAUUUACACCCUUGAGUUGCUACUAGCCAAAUCUGACGGCAAGAAAGUUUACAUCCAUGUAUCUGCAAGGUCCAUGGGUACUCGGCCUUUUCUCGUAAUCAUGUUUGUCAAGGAUUUCCUUCAUAUUAUCUUGAGUUAUGUACCUGAAUUCUUACCUUAAAACUAAAAUGCGGGCUAGAAUGGUGACAGGAAGUAAUGUUUUGUGCAUCAUGAAGUAGUGGUCGUGUUGUAGCAAGCCUGUUAGUUUUCAUUUAGCAAGUGACUGUUUUUUGUGCAGUAUACAAGCAUUAAGAGAUAUGUUGAUUAUUUCAUUUACAUGGUGGUUCCUAACUUCUGUAAUGUAGCUGCAAACUGAUGAUGCUUUGCUUGAUUAUCUGAUACUUUCUAGCAUAUUAUUAUCUGAUACACCAAGAUGUAUGGAGCCAUGAAUUGUUCUCUUCACUUUGUAUUCUAAGCUGAAUUUCACUGGUAAUAUUAUCUUAUUUCACAUGUGUGGGUUUUAGUUGGUACCCAUCAGAAUACAAGAGGAUAUUGCUUCUCUUAGUAGGGUAUUGGGUUGCUGCUCUGAAAUCCAUUGGGUCGCUAACUGCAGAUUGUUUCUUUGAAGCGAUGCAUACCUGAACCAACUUCACAGCUCAAUGGUAGGGUAUUUCUUGGCACGAAAACAGCUCAGCGAGAUCUGCCAUAUAGUUGCAGAACUGAUGCAUAGAGAAAGCAUCUACAACUGAUAUGUUUCCUCCCUUCUCAACCUCAAAUAAAGUUGAACCCAAGGAAUUUCAUAUUAGAAGAAGAAGCCAUAGUAGUAGGAGGAAGGAAACCUUUUCAUAUAGUGAUAAUAUUAUGAAAAGGUUUCCUUCCUCCUACUACCAUGGCUUCUUCCUCUAAUAUGAAAUUCCUUGGGUUCCUCUAAUAUUAUUGCAUUAGUGUAGAAUGCUACUGGGUCUUCACACGCAUCAUCGAAAUUAUUUGGCAGUUCCAUACAUCAUUGUUUCAUUCAUUCUGUAUUAGAAUGUGUUGGUGUAUUUAAACAUUUUCUAAAUUAUUUUAUUUUCUGCUAGGAGAUUGGCCAGGGGGUGGAACCAGCGAGCACCAUGUCGGGUGGUUACUAUUGGCAGUGCUUGGGUGGCAUCGGCAUUUUGCUGAGUGGCUUGGCGGCCUCGGCACUGGUGCGGGCGGGGCAUGCCAGUGGGGUUCAACAUGAAGGUCUUAUGAAGUUUCAGUGAUGGGUAGAUGAAUUGUCAGCUUCGCAUUCAAGAGAUUUCCAGCAGGUUGCAUAUGAGGUUGGGAUUUAAUAGGUUUGGAUAAGGAGGGCGUUGGAAGUGUAAUGCCUUAGAUGCAACCGGAGGUAAUUAAAUGUGUGCCGUGGAUCUGGUGGAGACUAGGUUUAUCACUCUUGUUCUGUUGGCACCAAGCACUGGGUUGUUGGCCUACCGCGAGCCUCAGCCCUCGAGUGCUAGAACCAACUAGGAGCGGCGGAGAAGAACAGGGGUGUGCCACCGGGGUGAGGUAAUUGCGGAAGUGGUGGGAGAGGGCGCUCAUCAAGGCUAGCGGCUGGAAGGCAAGGGAUUUGGAAGCCCGGUUGCCAGCAAUGGGGAGGCAGGAGAAAGAUGUUUGGCUAGAGAGAAAACGAGGGCGGUAGAAAGUGGGAAGGUCGAGAGUGGGGAGGCAGGCGAGGACUGUCCAAAUUUGGGUGGGGGUUUCUUUAAUUAUUUUGUAGUGUCAUCGAGUCAAGGAAAGUUUUAUGUUAAGUAAGGCUUAAAAAGGAAGUUCGGUUAUACGUAUAUGUGGCUGCAAAACUACGGCUGAUUGAUAUAUAUACCAGUAUCUCAAUGAAAAUUGUGGCAUCUUGAAAUGCAUUUUAAUUCAAUA